rnacentral:rRNA from 1 species
UACGUAGGGGGCAAGCGUUGUCCGGAUUUAUUGGGCGUAAAGAGCGUGUAGGCGGCUAGAUAGGUCCGUUGUGAAAACUCGAGGCUCAACCUCGAGACGUCGAUGGAAACCAUCUGGCUAGAGUCCGGAAGAGGAGAGUGGAAUACCUGGUGUAGCGGUGAAAUGCGCAGAUAUCAGGAAGAACACCCGUGGCUAAGGCGGCUCUCUAGUACGGUACUGACGCUGAGACGCGAAAGCGUGGGGAGCGAACAGG